rnacentral:pre_miRNA from 12 species
CAGACAGCCGGCCCCGCCAACCCAGUGUUCAGACUACCUGUUCAGGGGUUCUGAAUGUGUACAGUAGUCUGCACAUUGGUUAGGCUGGGCUCGGGCGAUCG